UACGUAGGGUGCAAGCGUUAAUCGGAAUUACUGGGCGUAAAGCGUGCGCAGGCGGUUUUGUAAGACUGUCGUGAAAUCCCCGGGCUCAACCUGGGAAUGGCGAUGGUGACUGCAAGGCUAGAGUUUGGCAGAGGGGGGUAGAAUUCCACGUGUAGCAGUGAAAUGCGUAGAUAUGUGGAGGAACACCGAUGGCGAAGGCAGCCCCCUGGGUCAAAACUGACGCUCAUGCACGAAAGUGUAGGGAGCAAACAGG
rnacentral:rRNA from 1 species